UCGGCGGGCCGUGACUGGCGCGUUCGGAUGGGCAAACCAUCGGGGAGCGGUCCCGUCCGUUCCGGACGACCUGCCGUGCGCCUGGGCCUCUUCA
rnacentral:ncRNA from 2 species